GUGCCAGCCGCCGCGGUAAUACGUAGGCAGCGAGCGUUGUUCGGAGUUACUGGGCGUAAAGAGUGCGUAGGCGGUGCUCUAAGUUUGGUGUGAAAUCUCCCGGCUUAACUGGGAGGGUGCGCCGAAAACUGGAGUGCUUGAGUGUGGGAGAGGUAAGCGGAAUUCCUGGUGUAGCGGUGAAAUGCGUAGAUAUCAGGAGGAACACCUGUGGUGUAGACAGCUUACUGGACCAUGACUGACGCUGAGGCACGAAAGCGUGGGGAGCAAACAGGAUUAGAAACCCUCGUAGUCC
rnacentral:rRNA from 1 species